GGGGCCAUAGCUCAGCUGGUAGAGCGCCUGCCUUGCACGCAGGAGGCCGGCGGUUCGACCCCGCCUGGCUCCACCA
rnacentral:tRNA from 2 species